AGAGUUUGAUCAUGGCUCAGGAUGAACGCUAGCUACAGGCUUAACACAUGCAAGUCGAGGGGAAACGACAUCGAAAGCUUGCUUUUGAUGGGCGUCGACCGGCGCACGGGUGAGUAACGCGUAUCCAACCUGCCCACCACUUGGGGAUAACCUUGCGAAAGUAAGACUAAUACCCAAUGACGUCUCUAGAAGACAUCUGAAAGAGAUUAAAGAUUUAUCGGUGAUGGAUGGGGAUGCGUCUGAUUAGCUUGUGGCGGGGUAAGCCACAAGGCGACGAUCAGUAGGGGUUCUGAGAGGAAGGUCCCCANAUUGGAACUGAGACACGGUCCAAACUCCUACGGGAGGCA
rnacentral:rRNA from 1 species